GAAAUGAGGAGGAGAAAGAAGCCUUUGGAACUCUGGGAGAGCAGAGGAGGAACAGCCCAGCUGAAGGCACGGUAGGCACUGUAGAAGUCCAGCCUGCUAUUUGCUCAUUGCAACACAGCAAACGUGUGGCCUAGCUGUGAUGAAACUGGCCGUAGGAGCAAGAGAUCUGGCUGGAGAGGGCAAAACAACAUGCCUGUUCCCAAAAAUGGGAGGUUUUUUUGUGAACUUAAACAUGAGAAGGUUAUAACUUUCCAUUCAGAAGCCAAUGAAGAUGUUUACCAUGAUGGUUUAAGCCCUCCCCAAAGAAGAAAGAUAGUGCAUGGCUGUUCUCUUGGACGAUGGAUGCAAGUACAUGGCUUAGAGUAUCUAUUUCUAGAUUGGCAGAAGGAAGGAAUGCCAUCCAAGGGGACCUCGAUAAACUUGAAAGAUACUACAAAAAGCCACUCCAAAAAAGAAACUCUCUCAUUGAGACACCAGUGGUGGUGAGUUUAUGGCUGUAAGUGCAGCUGACAUCAGAAAAGAAGUCUCCAGGAAAAACAGAGUUGUCUCAAGUACUGUGCCUUUAAACGUGCUCCUCUCUUCCAGAUGAUUUUAAUAAGCCCAGGCACAUGUGUUGUAACCCCUUGGUGCAGUACAAUAUGAAUAACCAAAUAAAAGAUCUCUCCAGAUUUUAAGAUUUACUGUUUGCGAUGGGAAAAGGCCAACCAGAUGACAUCAUUAUACUUCAAAUGUGAAUUACUGCCAAGUUUGGUAAUACUAAACUGGAGAAAUUGAUCCUCUCUGUUUUUGCAGAAAAACGGUUUUUGGCUUCAGUGGUGAUUUUCUUCUUUUGUUAUUUAUGUAACUGUAACGCUUGUGUUUAGCAAACUUUAAUUUUACUUAAAACUGGAGCCAGAGUACCCUUAUCUUACAGGUUAUUUGUUUUCAGCCAUCUGCUUUGCUGGAAAUAAUUGAGUUUGACAAUUUAUGGGUUAAAGAGUCAAUGGAUUGUGUUGGAUAAUUCACCAAGAGCCAAAUUCUAGCUCAGGCAAAGCUCUAGCUGGCUUCAGUGGGAGUCUGCCUGAUGAGGCUGUCAGGAUCCUCGUCCCUGUCUGGAAGAUGUUCCGUUGUUUGCCUCUGAGGAAGAAAAAUCCAUACGUAUGUAACAAUAACACCCUUUUCAUGUAGCACAUCUGGAUUUCUGGAAGUAUAAAAAGCUGUGAUACUCCAGCCAGUAUAAUCACAGAGUCACAGAAUCACAGAACUGUAGGGGUUGGAAGGGACCUCUGGGGAUCACUGAGUCCAACUGCUUGCUAGAGAAGGUUCCUGACAGUAGUGCAGAGAAGAGGAGGAGGAUCACCUCUUUCAGCCUGCUAGCCACGCUCUUUGUAAUGCACUCUAGGAUACUGCUGGCCUUCUUGGCCAUGAGGGCACACUGGUGGCUCAUGAUCAGCCUGUUAGCAACCAGAAGACCCAUCUCCUUCUCUGCAGAUCUCCUUUCCAGCAGGUCAGCCCUUAACCUGUACUGAUGCGGGCAGUUAUUCCUCUCCAGGUACAGGACUCUACACUCGUACUUGUUGAACCUCAUCAGGUUCUACUCCACCCAACUCUUCAGGCCUCACUGAAUGGCAGCACAGCUCCUGGUGAGCCAGCCACUCCUCCCAACUUCACAUCAGCAAACUUGUUGAGGUUGCACUCUAUCCCGUCCUCCAGGUCACUGAUGAUGUUGGACAAGACCAGACCCAGUACUGACCCCUGAGGAACACCACUAGCUACAGACCUACAGUAUUCUUAAAAUAUGUAUUACAUCUAUGUGCCAUGCUUCUUCAAGGAAUUCUCAGCUCCCAUGGUACUUUCAAGCACCCCUUUGAAUGAGGUCCAUGGAACAUUGCUCGUUUCACUGCACAGCUGAACAGAUAGAGUCCCAAAGAGGUUAAGCCACUUGCCCAAGACUGCAAAGUGAUUCACAGGCAGAGAUGAAACCAAAAACCACAAAGCUCUUUUUCCCACACCCCUGCACACCACUUCUUUCAAACUGUUGGUGAUGUGAAUAACAACAGUUGCAAAGCUUUGCGUUGCAGACAACUCUGGUGAUUCUUUUUUUUUAAUCAAGAGCUUAUUAAAAUCUCGUUUUCCACUGCAGAAAAGGAUUCUGAAAUUUCAUGUUACAGCAACAUUUUCAGAUAAAUCCACAUCCUUAAUGCCAGGAAAAUGUUCUAUUUUUACAGCAUACAUAAGCAUAUUUUUUAAAGCAGCCAUAUAUACACCGAAUUACGUUGGGUCUGUUUCCUUCAGAGAGGAAGCCCCAAGUCAUACUACUGCUAUUAUUCUUAAAAACGUGCAGCAUGACACCCAUGGAACCGUUGGUUCACCAAUUACAACAGAAUAAGUCUUACUGAAGGCACAGUGCUGUGAAGGCAAGAGCAUGGCUUGCCUAAUUGAGUUUUAGGUGCCAAUUCCCUAUCCCUGUGCCAGGGACAGAGCAUCCCAUGGCCAACAGGACCUGCUGCUCUCUGAGCCUGUGUGCCAUGAGUGCACCACAGCACU
ensembl:lncRNA